AAGCCCAUGAAAAAGGAAUAGUCUUAAUAAAUCUUUAUAAUGCUCUCAUGCGUCAAAGAGUGAUUCCCCUUCUUCUUUCCUAAAAUUGUUAAUCUCGUUCCUAACUU